UGGAAUAUAGUUUAGAUUGGUAGAACGCAGGACUUUGAAUCCUGUAGCAUUGGUUCGAGUCCAGUUAUUCCAG
rnacentral:tRNA from 1 species